rnacentral:rRNA from 1 species
AAUGGAAAGAGAAGACGGGUGAGUAUUCUGUGGGAACGAAAAAAGUGGUACGGAAUAGCUCAGGGAAACUUGAGGAGAUACCGUAUCCCCCCCAAGGGGGAAAGAUUUAUCGCCAUUGGAUGGGCCCGCGUCGGAUUAGCUAGUUGGUGGGGUAAUGGCCUACCAAGGCGACGAUCCGUAGCUGGUCUGAGAGGAUGAUCAGCCACACUGGGACUGAGACACGGCCCAGACUCCUACGGGAGGCAGCAGUGGG